rfam:Coxsackievirus A16 polyprotein gene, complete cds.
UUAAAACAGCCUGUGGGUUGUUCCCACCCACAGGGCCCACUGGGCGCUAGCACACUGAUUCUGCGGGAUCUUUGUGCGCCUGUUUUAUAA